GCCCGAGUGGUGGAAUGGCAGACACGCCGGACUCAAAAUCCGGUGGGGGCAACCUCGUGUGAGUUCGACUCUCACCUCGGGCA
rnacentral:tRNA from 1 species